UAAGAGCUAGUUUAUUAAGAACGAUAGGUUGUGGGUCUAUUAGAACAAAUACAGUUUGUGCUUUUAA
rnacentral:tRNA from 1 species